AUUUAUGUAGUUUAACAAAACAUUACAUUUUCAUUGUAAAAUUAGAGUAGCUCUCAUAAAUA
rnacentral:tRNA from 1 species